rnacentral:rRNA from 1 species
AGCGAACGCUGGCGGCAGGCUUAACACAUGCAAGUCGAGCGGACCUUUCGGGGUCAGCGGCGGACGGGUGAGUAACGCGUGGGAACGUGCCUUCCGGUUCGGAAUAACCCUGGGAAACUAGGGCUAAUACCGGAUACGCCCUUAUGGGGAAAGGUUUACUGCCGGAAGAUCGGCCCGCGUCUGAUUAGCUAGUUGGUGGGGUAACGGCCAACCAAGGCGACGAUCAGUAGCUGGUCUGAGAGGAUGAUCAGCCACACUGGGACUGAGACACGGCCCAGACUCCUACGGGAGGCAGCAGUGGGGAAUAUUGGACAAUGGGCGCAAGCCUGAUCCAGCCAUGCCGCGUGAGUGAUGAAGGCCUUAGGGUUGUAAAGCUCUUUUAUCCGGGACGAUAAUGACGGUACCGGGGGAAUAAGCCCCGGCUAACUUCGUG